GUGGUUGAUCGCGUCGGAAGUGUAAUCUUGGGGCUUAACCCUGAGCGUGCUUUCGAUACGGGUUGACUUGAGGAAGGUAGGGGAGAAUGGAAUUCCUGGUGGAGCGGUGGAAUGCGCAGAUAUCAGGAGGAACACCAGUGGCGAAGGCGGUUCUCUGGGCCUUUCCUGACGCUGAGGAGCGAAAGCGUGGGGAGCGAACAGGCUUAGAUACCCUGGUAGUCCACGCUGUAAACGGUGGGUACUAGGUGUGGGGUCCAUUCCACGGGUUCCGCGCCGUAGCUAACGCUUUAAGUACCCCGCCUGGGGAGUACGGCCGCAAGGCUAAAACUCAAAGGAAUUGACGGGGCCCCGCACAAGCGGCGGAGCAUGCGGAUUAAUUCGAUGCAACGCGUAGAACCUUACCUGGGUUUGACAUGGAUCGGGAGUGCUCAGAGAUGGGUGUGCCUCUUUUGGGGUCGGUUCACAGGUGGUGCAUGGCUGUCGUCAGCUCGUGUCGUGAGAUGUUGGGUUAAGUCCCGCAACGAGCGCAACCCUUGUUCACUGUUGCCAGCACGUUAUGGUGGGGACUCAGUGGAGACCGCCGGGGUCAACUCGGAGGAAGGUGGGGAUGACGUCAAGUCAUCAUGCCCCUUAUGUCCAGGGCUUCACGCAUGCUACAAUGGCUGGUACAGAGAGUGGCGAGCCUGUGAGGGUGAGCGAAUCUCGGAAAGCCGGUCUCAGUUCGGAUUGGGGUCUGCAACUCGACCUCAUGAAGUCGGAGUCGCUAGUAAUCG
rnacentral:rRNA from 1 species